UAGACUUUAAUAAAAUCGAAAUAAAAAUAACGCUACUUUUUGAAACACCCGGAUACUUUAUAAUAAAAUAGUAUAUAGAGUAUACUGAACAGUGUGCCACACGCCAUGACCUGCCCUGUCAUCUAUGAUACAGUAGCUACAUACAUGUAGUCGAACAUUAGUAGUAAAACGGUGAAAAACAAGGUAUACAGUGUCGCGUUCUAUUUCUCUCCUCCUUGCUUUUUUGUUUCGUCAUUUUCAUUUCAUUCUCCUCUUCGUUGUCUCAAACUAUUCGAAAUGAUACUGAAUAAUCCAU
rnacentral:ribozyme from 14 species